CGUGAUUGGGAUAGGGGCUUGCAAUUGUUCCCCUUGAACGAGGAAUUCCCAGUAAGCGCGAGUCAUAAGCUCGCGUUGAUUACG
rnacentral:rRNA from 2 species